AUGUAAAGCAAGUGAAAGACCCCCGGAGCAGGGAGACCCUCACUCAAGUCUCAGGAUGAUGCGACCCCCCAAGAACUCACGUGAGACC
rnacentral:pre_miRNA from 14 species